rnacentral:lncRNA from 1 species
CCUUUAUUGAAAAUGGUACCUUGUUCACACCACAGGGCCUACCAAAGCAAGGUUUCUCUAACAACUAUGGGGUGUUUGUUUUGAUGGAAAACAUGCAGCAAAUUAGGCCAUGGUGGCGCCUAGUUCUCCUGCAGAACUUUCCCAUGCCGAUGAUGUAGAAGACGUCCUCCACACCAAGAAGUCACAGCAUGUCACAUCAGCAUCCAGCUCUGCAGGAUCAGAUGAUACUGAAAACAAAAUGCACGGCGAGCUGUGAACUGGGAAGCAGAUGUUCUUCUAAGGGACACCUUGGAGGCAGCAAGGUGGUGCGAACGCCAAACAUUUAAAGGCACUGUUUCCCUCCCUAGUGUAAUUGGGAUGGACGGGGAAUACCCCAUUACAACCCUUAAAGAACUACGGUGGUAUGAUGGCCUGGAUGAAGAGGAAAAUAUUCUCAAGGAACCAUUCAUGUUACAGAGAAAUUAAGAUGUUCUAUGUGGAGGAAGUUGACAACAAGAAAAUGACUGCCUUUGCCUCUUUUGAGGAGCAGGAGUGAAGCCAUUUUUGAGGAGUGGUCAAACCUUGUUUUUGUCUGCUGUGUUAAUUGUUUCAAUUGUUAAUUGUGUUAAGUUGUUUAGUAAAGAUGACGUUGAAGUCACAAGUCUCUGAUCUCUUUACUGGAG